GACGAACGCUGGCGGCGUGCUUAACACAUGCAAGUCGAACGAAGUGGCGAACGGGUGAGUAACGCGUAAUCAACCUGCCCUUCAGAGGGGGACAACAGUUGGAAAGGACUGCUAAUACCGCAUACUGAAGGAGGGGAUUGCGUGGGAUUAGCUAGUUGGGGGGGUAACGGCCCACCAGGGCGAUGAUCAGUAGCCGGUCUUGAGGGAUGAACGGCCAAAGUGGGACUGGGAACCGGCCCAGGACCCCACGGGAGGCAGCAGUUGGGAAUCUUCCGCAAUUGACGAAAGUCUGACGGAGCAACGCCGCGUGAGUGAUGACGGCCUUCGGGUUGGAAAGCUCUGUUAAUCGGGACGCGGUACCGGAAUAGAAAGCCACGGCUAACUACGUGCCAGCAGCCGCGGUAAUAC
rnacentral:rRNA from 1 species